UACGUAGGUGGCAAGCGUUGUCCGGAUUUACUGGGCGUAAAGAGCGCGCAGGCGGCUGGUCAAGUCCGAUGUGAAAGCUCCCGGCUUAACUGGGAAACGGCAUCGGAAACUGAUCGGCUUGAAGGUGGGAGAGGGUAGUGGAAUUCCCGGUGUAGUGGUGAAAUGCGUAGAUAUCGGGAGGAACACCAGUGGCGAAGGCGACUACCUGGCCCACUCUUGACGCUGAGGCGCGAAAGCUAGGGGAGCAAACGGG
rnacentral:rRNA from 1 species